UGGCUCAGGAUGAACGCUAGCGACAGGCUUAACACAUGGCAAGUCGAGGGGCAGCGGGGAUGAAGCUUGCUUCAUCCGCCGGCGACCGGCGCACGGGUGAGUAACACGUAUGCAACCUGCCCCUGGCUGGGGGAUAAGCCGGAGAAAUCCGGUCUAAUACCGCGUAACAUCCUUACGGGACAUCCCGUUAGGAUCAAAGGAAGCGAUUCCGGCCAGGGAUGGGCAUGCGGCGCAUUAGCUAGUCGGCGGGGUAGCGGCCCACCGAGGCGACGAUGCGUAGGGGUUCUGAGAGGAAGGUCCCCCACACUGGUACUGAGACACGGACCAGACUCCUACGGGAGGCAGCAGUGAGGAAUAUUGGUCAAUGGGCGCGAGCUUGAACCAGCCAAGUCGCGUGAGGGAAGACGGUCCUAUGGAUUGUAAACCUCUUUUGCCGGGGAGCAAGCUGAGUCACGUGUGGCUCAGCUGAGAGUACCCGGAGAAAAAGCAUCGGCUAACUCCGUG
rnacentral:rRNA from 1 species